UACGUAGGGUGCGAGCGUUGUCCGGAUUUAUUGGGCGUAAAGAGCUCGUAGGCGGCUUGUCGCGUCGUCCGUGAAAGCCCGGGGCUCAACCCCGGGUCGGCCGUCGAUACUCUCGUGCUUGAGCACUGUAGAGGCAGGUGGAAUUCCGGGUGUAGCGGUGAAAUUCGUAGAUAUUCGCAAGAACACCAGUGGCGAAGGCGGCUCACUGGCCCAUAACUGACGCUGAGGCACGAAAGCGUGGGGAGCGAACAGG
rnacentral:rRNA from 1 species